rnacentral:lncRNA from 1 species
AUGAAAUGAAUUGAACUUUCACCAGAGCACUUGCUAAGUGAGUCAUGAAUCAAACACAACAGGGACCACUGGACAUCCAUCUGCUGUGGUUAGAGGCUGCCUUGUAAUUCCUCAGAGCUGACAGAACCCCAUAAGAAAAGGAAACGGACUGGGCUCCACAAGAUGUUCUUGCAAAGGAGGGAUUUGGAUUAACCUGGGAAGGUCAACAGCAAAGCAUGGUUUCCUGUUUUUAAAGUGAAGAUG